rnacentral:rRNA from 1 species
UACGUAGGGUGCGAGCGUUGUCCGGAAUUAUUGGGCGUAAAGGGCUCGUAGGUGGCCAACUAAGUCAGACGUGAAAUCCCUCGGCUUAACCGGGGAACUGCGUCUGAUACUGGAUGGCUUGAGUUUGGGAGAGGGAUGCGGAAUUCCAGGUGUAGCGGUGAAAUGCGUAGAUAUCUGGAGGAACACCGGUGGCGAAGGCGGCAUCCUGGACCAACACUGACACUGAGGAGCGAAAGCCAGGGGAGCAAACGGG